GGAAGUAAAAGCAUAACAAGGUUUCCGUAGGUGAACCUGCGGAAGGAUCAUUAUUGUAUAACCGAGGUGCGAGGGCUGUCGCUGACCCGAAAGGUCGUGCACGCCCGAGUGCCCUCACACACAUCCAUCUCACCCCUAUGUGCACCACCGCGUGGGUCCCCCUUUGGCUUGUUCGGAGGGGGGCUUACGUUUUCACACAAACUUUGUAUGCAGUGUAGAAUGUAUUUUUUGUUUUUGCGAUCACGCAAUCAAUACAACUUUCAACAACGGAUCUCUUGGCUCUC
rnacentral:misc_RNA from 1 species